rnacentral:rRNA from 1 species
GUGUCAGCAGCCGCGCGGUAAUACGAAGGGUGCAAGCGUUGUUCGGAUUUACUGGGCGUAAAGCGCGCGCAGGCGGAUUGAUAAGUCAGAUGUGAAAUCUCGGGGCUCAACCCCGAAACCGCAUCUGAAACUGUUGAUCUAGAGUUAUGUAGGGGAGAAGGGAAUUUCGCAUGUAGGGGUAAAAUCCGUAGAGAUGCGAAGGAACACCAGAGCCGAAGGGGCUUCUCUGGGCAUACACUGACGCUGAGGCGCGAAAGCGUGGGUAGCAAACAGGAUUAGAUACCCUGGUAGUCCACGCCCUAAACGAUGGGCACUAAGUGUCGGCGGUUUACCGCCGGUGCCGCAGCUAACGCAGUAAGUGCCCCGCCUGGGGAGUACGGCCGUAAGGUUGAAACUCAAAGGAAUUGACGGGGGCCCGCACAAGCGGUGGAGCAUGUGGUUUAAUUCGAUGCAACGCGAAGAACCUUACCUACUCUUGACAUCCAGAGAACUUUCCAGAGAUGGAUUGGUGCCUUCGGGAACUCUGAGACAGGUGCUGCAUGGCUGUCGUCAGCUCGUGUUGUGAAAUGUUGGGUUAAGUCCCGCAACGAGCGCAACCCUUAUCCUUUGUUGCCAGCGGUUAGGCCGGGAACUCAAAGGAGACUGCCAGUGAUAAACUGGAGGAAGGUGGGGAUGACGUCAAGUCAUCAUGGCCCUUACGAGUAGGGCUACACACGUGCUACAAUGGCAUAUACAAAGAGAAGCGACCUCGCGAGAGCAAGCGGACCUCAUAAAGUAUGUCGUAGUCCGGAUCGGAGUCUGCAACUCGACUCCGUGAAGUCGGAAUCGCUAGUAAUCGUGGAUCAGAAUGCCACGGUGAAUACGUUCCCGGGCCUUGUACACACCGCCCGUCACACCAUGGGAGUGGGUUGCAAAAGAAGUAGGUAGCUUAACCCUUCGGGAGGGCGCUUACCACUUUGUGAUUCAUGACUGGGGUGAGUCGUAACAAGUACC